GCAUUGGAGGACCUCACCACCACCUGGAGCAGUCCUGAUCUCCCCAACUAAAGGAAUCAAUAGAGGCCAUCUUUUGACAUCAUCAGGAACUCGAACACAAAAGAGGGAAAAAAAUAAUAAUAAAGAAGCUUCACGGACUGGGAUUAAGAGUUACCUUGAACAUAACCUCCAUUCCAUAAUCUGGAUGUGGUUGAUCAUUGUACUUCAAUGAGCUGGUACUGCACGGCUUCCUCUUUAAUUUGGCCUUGGGCCAAAAGGUCUCUUCCUACGAGAUUCAAGCCUGCAAUGCAAAAGACACUAGUACAACAUCAAACAAGGAAUUGCAUUUCAUAAACAAAUUCCCUCGAAUUAAUUCCUUUUUUAUCUUUUUCUCCAAAUAAUUUCUCUGCCCAUUUGACAAUCAACAAAGCAAAAAGAUCAUGUUUUCCACUCUACAACACCAAAAAAUUUGGUCAAAAUUAUCACCUGAUUACAAAAUUGCUUGCUGAAUCUCAAGCAACCCAAGAUAUAAGUAAUUUCAUAACAUUAACGAUAGUUGCAUUAAAAUGGGUCAUAAAGUUCACCAAAUAUUUGAAUUUUACAGGAACCGAUGAGGUAAAAACAGACGUGAUCGUCUGAUCGAGCUAUGAGCAAUCAACUUUAAGAAUUUCCAACGAGAAUCUGAUAGCCAAUUAGCGUACCAAUUAGCCGAGAGAAAAUCAGGAACAUCGACGGACCCUCUGAAUCGAGAGCCGACUGAGAAGGCCGCCGGUUUGUUGUCUCCCUUGAAGGGCUUGGAUUUGGAUAAGAGAGACGGAGACCGUGGAGUUGAUAGAGAAGAACAGAACGACAUCGUUUCCUAACUCCAAACAAUCUUCACAGUUACCCCGCUGUGUGGGAGUUUCGUGUCCAUGUAUGUCUGUAAUAUGGAAAGUACGAGAAAGAAGUUUGAUAGGAGUAUCUUGUUUGUUGUGAACUGUCCGAUGAUAUUUUAUGGACAUCGUACGGUGGAAAUGUAGAAAAACCUACUCUGUAAAUACAUAAUUUCUUUUAACGGCACGUCGUUCAACUGAACAGAAACAAUUGAACAUGCGUCGCCUAUCACUCUUCUUACAAAGCCGAACUCACUGUAGAUGAAGCGCUCUGCGGCUCCUCUUCAAUUCCUUGCCGCUGCGGCCACCGACACUUCUGCCAUGUCUUCUCGCUCUUCU
rnacentral:misc_RNA from 1 species